GCCGAAGUGGCGGAAUUGGCAGACGCGCACGCUUCAGGAGCGUGUGGGGCAACCCAUGGAGGUUCGAGUCCUCUCUUCGGCACCA
rnacentral:tRNA from 1 species